rnacentral:rRNA from 1 species
CCUACGGGGGGCAGCAGUGGGGGAUAUUGCACAAUGGGGGGAACCCUGAUGCAGCGACGCCGCGUGGGUGAAGGAGCGUUUCGGCAUGUAAAGCUCUAUCGGCAGGGAAGAAGGAGGACGGUACCUGACUAAGAAGCCCCGGCUAACUACGUGCCAGCAGCCGCGGUAAUACGUAGGGGGCAAGCGUUAUCCGGAUUCACUGGGUGUAAAGGGGGCGCAGACGGCAGCGCAAGCCAGGAGUGAAAGCCCGGGGCCCAACCCCGGGACUGCUUUGGGAACUGCUCGGCUGGAGUGCAGGAGGGGCAAGUGGAAUUCCUGGUGUAGCGGUGAAAUGCGUAGAUAUCAGGAGGAACACCAGUGGCGAAGGCGGCCUGCUGGACUGCAACUGACGUUGAGGCCCGAAAGCGUGGGGAGCAAACAGGAUUAGAUACCCGAGUAGUC